GCCUCCCCGGCCCGCGUGAUGUCAUCAGGCGGCGCGAGGCCGGCGGGGGGAGGGGGAGCGGGAUUAGUGUCCGGGAACCCGCAGCCAGCCUGCCCGCUUCGGGCCCUGGAAACUGCAACUCCCAGACUGCUCCUCCGUGACUGCUAGAAAAUUCAAAACUACAUAUACGGUUCACAUUAUAUUUCCGUUGGACAACACUGGUCUGGAAUCUGUAUUUUCCAGCUUCAAGGUGAGCAUCCCUACUCUGCUUCCCAGAGUCUAUUCUAACAAAUCAUUCACUUACCAUCUAUUAAGUGUCAGUUGUUCAGGGGAGAUCAAAUUGCGGACUACUUGAGGAGAAAACUGAAAACAGUAAAGGAUAACAAAUGCUGGUAACUCCUAUUUUAUGUAUUUCCUAGAAUGGUGGUCCUUAACUCUACCAGCCCCAAUGUUGCCUUUUAAUAGCAAACUUUUUUU